UACGUAGGGUGCAAGCGUUGUCCGGAAUUAUUGGGCGUAAAGAGCUCGUAGGCGGUUUGUCGCGUCUGCUGUGAAAACCCGAGGCUCAACCUCGGGCCUGCAGUGGGUACGGGCAGACUAGAGUGCGGUAGGGGAGAUUGGAAUUCCCGGUGUAGCGGUGAAAUGCGCAGAUAUCGGGAGGAACACCGGUGGCGAAGGCGGUUCUCUGGGCCUUACCUGACGCUGAGGAGCGAAAGCGUGGGGAGCGAACAGG
rnacentral:rRNA from 1 species